UUGAUGUGUUGAUCGAAAGAGAGGUUAUUAUCAAAAAGGACCCCGAGGUUGCGACAGUGAGAGGAGGGGGACAGGGUGAAGUUAUCUAUAGUGAGGGUAAAGUUGGUGGUUGUUUGGGUGAGGGACCGAGGACCGAUUAUAAGCAGUUGAGAUUUAGUACAGUUAAGAGUGAGAAAGUUUGUUUGCAACCAGGAUUUGACAUCUGAGAGACAGUUAGACAGGGUGGAGUGGGUUGUUGGGGUAAAUGAUUUGGUGGCUAUGUACAAUUGGACAUCAUCAGCGUAGCAGAGGGUAAAAGAUAGAGAAUGAAGAGAAGAGGACCGAGCACAGAACCCUGGGGGACACCUUGGGACAGUGGGGCAGUGUAGGAAGAGCAGUUGUUUAUGUGUAUGAAUUGUUUCCUGUCUGUGAGAUAAGAGUGUGGCCAGGUAAGGACUUUGUCGGUGAUGUUUAGGUAUUGUAGGCGAGAGAGUAGGAUGGAAUGGUUGAUGAUGUCAAAGGCAGCUGUAAGGUCAAGAAGGAUGAGGAUGGAGAGUAGGCCGGAGUCAGAGGCAAGGAGGAGGUCAUUGGUGAUUUUAAGGAGGGCUGUUUCAGUGCUGUGUUGUGUGCGGAAUCCAGAUUGAAAUUGUUCAAAAAGCUGGUCGUUGUUUAGGUAGGUUUUAAUUUGAGAUGUGACGGCACGUUCUAUGACUUUGGACAGAAAGGGAAGGUUGGAGAUGGGUCGAAAGUUGCUCAUGAUGUCAGGGUUGAGUCCGGGUUUUUUGAUGAUGGGGGUUACGGCAGCCAGUUUGAGUAAGGAGGGGACAUAGGCAGAGUUGAGGGAGGAGUUGACAAUGUUCAUGACGAGGUGGGAGAUGGUGGGAAAGCAGUGCUUGACGAAGGAAGAUGGGAUGGGAUCCAGUGUGCAGGUGGAGGAGUUCAUUGUUGAAAUGAUAUUGGUGAGUUCGGCUAUGGAGACAGGUGUGAAUUCAGAGAGAGGUGAAGUAGUUGGAGUGAUGGAUGCUGGUAGGAAGGGAGGGGGGACAGGUGAGGUGGUGAGUGAACUGUAGAGGAUGUCGAUUUUGGAUAGAAAGUGGGAUAGGAAUGAGUUGCAUUUGUCAACGGUGAAAGAGGUAGAAAUAUUGUCGCUGGGUUUGAGGAGUUUGUUGACGGUGGAGAAGAGACCCUUUUGGUUGUUGGAGUCGGUGUGGAUUAGGUUGGAGUAGUAGGUGGAAUGGCUGGAGUUGAGUGCGGUCUUGUAUAACUGAAGGUGAUCAGUGUAGGCGAGGAGAUGAACAGU